rnacentral:rRNA from 1 species
GAUGAACGCUGGCGGCGUGCCUAACACAUGCAAGUCGAACGGAAAGGCCCUGAUUUUGUGCGGUUCUCGAGUGGCGAUCGGGUGAGUAACACGAGAGUAACCUGCCCUUGACUUUGGGAUAACUUAACGAAACUGGGGCUAAUAUCAGAUAGGAGAUCAUGCACCAUGGUGGGCAUUGGAAAGUCUCGGCUGUUGGGGAUGGACUCGCGGCUUAUGAGCUAGCUGGUGGGGUAGUGGCUUACCCAGGGUUUGACGGAUAGCCCGCCUGGGAGGGUGGCCGGCGACAAUGGGACUGAGGGAGGGCGCAGAGGGGUACGUGAGGCAGCAGUCGGAAAUAUUGCACAAUGAGCGGGAGUGGGUGGCAGCGACGCCGCGUGCGGAAUGACGGCUUGUUGGGUAUGAACCGCUGUCGCCUGUGACGAAGCUGUAGUGACGGUAAUGAGUGAAUAAGCACCGGCUAACUACGUG